GACGAACGCUGGCGGCGUGCUUAACACAUGCAAGUCGAACGAAGAGCGACGGAAGCUUGCUUCUAUCAAUCUUAGUGGCGAACGGGUGAGUAACGCGUAAUCAACCUGCCCUUCAGAGGGGGACAACAGUUGGAAACGACUGCUAAUACCGCAUACGAUCUAAUCUCGGCAUCGAGGAUGGAUGAAAGGUGGCCUCUACAUGUAAGCUAUCACUGAAGGAGGGGAUUGCGUCUGAUUAGCUAGUUGGAGGGGGAACGGCCCACCAAGGCGAUGAUCAGUAGCCGGUCUGAGAGGAUGAACGGCCACAUUGGGACUGAGACACGGCCCAGACUCCUUCGGGAGGCAGCAGUGGGGAAUCUUCCGCAAUGGACGAAAGUCUGACGGAGCAACGCCGCGUGAGUGAUGACGGCCUUCGGGUUGUAAAGCUCUGUUAAUCGGGACGAAAGGCCUUCUUGCGAAUAGUGAGAAGGAUUGACGGUACCGGAAUAGAAAGCCACGGCUAACUACGUG
rnacentral:rRNA from 1 species